UGUUCUAACACUUGGUAUUGGCAAUAAC
rnacentral:sRNA from 1 species